AAGUGAACAAUCUCCAUUGGGUGUUACAAGAUUUUGCUUUUCUUCAUCAAAUAUUUUCUGAACUUCCUAAGUUCUUUCUAAUAAAUGUGUUAUUCCAUUUACUUUUUAGAAAGUGCUUUUACCACCUACAGAAGUUAUUUUUGAUAUAUUUUUAGUACUACAAAUGGAUAAGGACCACAGACUUUUACCUUCAAAUUGGAAAAAAAUCUAUUAAAUGGACAUCAACAACAGAGCAUCUGUAAAGGUUCUGGUGGCUGUUCCAGGUUAACUUCCUUCUAAACCAUCUUGCUAAUUCCAUUGACUUCAUUUAAACACAUGAUGUAAUCCAUUCCUUGUUUUGUUGACAUCAGAGAUUCUGGAGAGGGAAUCAGAGGAUGAAUUCCUGGAAUCUCCAAAGUUUCAUGUGAAUAUAGUUUAUAUUCUUUAGUUUCUAUUCAUGAAGUUGAGAGGAGGAAGAAUGAGGUAGAUGAGAUCUCAUGGAGGGGCCAUGUGGAGAUUGCUGAGGAAUAGACAAAGAAGUCAGAAUGUUAGAAAUCGAAAAGUCAGCUUUUUCAGAGGAAACCUGAUCUGUGGUUAAACAGAUGUGCGAAUCCCAAACCCACAAUUGAAACACUACAUGUAGCUGCCAGAACCACAGGCUGCCGCCUGGAAGGGGCUGUGUCUCCCCAGUGAGCUUACCAUAGAGGAAAAAAGUCACACUCUGAAGGCAAGUGGUUCUGAAGUAGAGGAUCCUAUGUGAAAUUAGCCACCCAUGCUCAGUGAUGUCCCCUGAACCCAUCAAUUGGAGAAGCCAGUGUGACUCUAAAUCUCCCCAGAGGAAGAUGGAGUCAGACAAUAAUGCCCUUGUUCUUAACACUGGCCAGGUGCUACCUGACAUGUCAUGAAACCAGAUGGGUGUGACAGUUAAUUUCAUGUGCCAAGUUGGCUAGGCUAUGGUGUCCAGCUCCUUAGUGAAACAGCAGUGUAGGUCCUGCUGAAGAGGUAUUUUUUCAGAUGUGAUGAACACUGAGAUCAGAAGACUCUGAGUACAGCAGGUCAUCCUACGUAAUGUGGGUAGGCCUCAUCCAAUCGUUUGUGGCCUCAAGAACACAGAUAGAUUUUUUGCAGAAGUUCUCAAGAUUGCAACAUGAACUCUUAGCUGGUUUUCUAGAUUGCCAGCCUGCCUUAUAGGUUUCAGAUUGCUAGUAUCUACAAUUUGGGUGAACCAAUCGGUCUUUCAGUCUUUCUCUCUCUCUGUUCUGUUUUUCUGCAGAACCGUACUAACACAGCUGGGAAUGUUGAGUCUGCCACUGAGAAGUUAGAGUGGUGGCCAAGAAAGCUAGUGUUACGUUCUGAUCAGUUCUCAUAGGACAACAGUGGCUUAUUCCGCGUGUCACAUAAGUGUGGACUAUUUCCUGAUGCUCUGAGCAUCUAAAAUAGUUUAAAUACAGCUGACCGAUGGCCCUUGUCCGUGGUGCUAUAGAAAAUAUGCUUAAAUGGCUGACUGCUAGGGGUACUUCAAACUUUUUUGAGGACAGUGACAUUAUCUUAUGCUUCUGUUAAAUAAUUAUUUAUAAUGUAACUUUUU